GAUGAACGCUGGCGGCGUGCUUAACACAUGCAAGUCGAACGGAAAGGCCCAAGCUUGCUUGGGUACCCGAGUGGCGAACGGGUGAGUAACACGUGGGUGAUCUGCCCUGCACUUCGGGAUAAGCCUGGGAAACUGGGUCUAAUACCGGAUAGGACCACUUCUUGGAUGUUGUGGUGGAAAGUUUUUUCGGUGUGGGAUGAGCUCGCGGCCUAUCAGCUUGUUGGUGGGGUAAUGGCCUACCAAGGCGUCGACGGGUAGCCGGCCUGAGAGGGUGUACGGCCACAUUGGGACUGAGGUACGGCCCAGACUCCUACGGGAGGCAGCAGUGGGGAAUAUUGCACAAUGGGCGCAAGCCUGAUGCAGCGACGCCGCGUGGGGGAUGACGGCCUUCGGGUUGUAAACUCCUUUCGCUAGGGACGAAGCGUUUUGUGACGGUACCUGGAGAAGAAGCACCGGCUAACUACGUG
rnacentral:rRNA from 1 species